AUGGCGAGUGAUAUGCGCCAGUGCGCCGGCGGAAACUUUCGGCCGGUCCCCACACAACCGUACGAUGCAACCGCUGGAAGCCGUCAGAUCUGUCCCUGCUUCGUCCUCCUCCUGACUCGUUUCUUUCCAAAACAAUUGGAGCGCCCGAGUGCAACCACACCUCGCCAUAGCCAUGAAGGUAAACUGACCGAGCUCGAAACACAACCACAUCGCCGGGACUCGCUGCCGCUCGCCGCACUCGCAGAAUCUCCUCCCCCGUUGUCGCCGUCGAAGGAACAAGCCCAUUCCAACAAAUUCUGGAUGCAUCAUGGGCACUCGUGGUCGCCGUCGAAGGAGAGAAGCCCGUUCCAGCAAUUAUGGGCGCCGGUUCCAGCAAACGCUGCGGCUGGUUGCAGCAAAAAAACACCGUGGUCACCAUGGUCCCCGUGGGCGCCGUCGAAGGAGAGAAUCGCUCCAGCAAUUCUGGACGCCGGUUCCAGCAAUCGUCGCAGCAAAUCGACACACCCGCGAAGCGGUUCCAGCAAAUCGAGAUGCUGGUUCCAGCAAAUCUCGACGCCGGUUCCAACAUUAACACAACACAACCUCUACCCCCUUGCAGCACCACCGCAGGCUUGUUGUAUCUCAUGUCUAAGCUGGUUCCAGCAAACGUGUCGCCAGUUGAAGCAUUUUUCUUCAGGCCGCAGUUGCCGUUCAACCCCCCAACGGUGCCGCUCGCCGCACCGUCAGCCCAUGGCUGUCGGGCGCCCUUUGCAGCAGAUGUUGACGGGCCUCGAGCAGAUGCCGCCGGGAGCGGGAGUGGCGCGCACGCGAGCAGGUUCACCACUGGAGCGCAGCCGCGGCAAGCAGAGGGUGGCUGGGCAAGCACAACGCCGGUCAUGCGUGCUUUUUCUUUCUCUCCCGUGGAAGAAAAAUGGAUGA
rnacentral:rRNA from 1 species